GUCGGGUGCAGUGGCGCGCGCCUGUAAUCCAAGCUGCUGGGAGGCUGAGGCUGGCGGAUCGCUUGAGUUCAGGGGUUCUGGGCUGCAGUGGACUAUGUCGAUCGGGUGUCCGCACUAAGUUCGGUAUCGAUAUGGUGCUCCUGGGGGAGCUCGGGACCACCAGGUCGUCUAAGGAGGGGUGAACCGGCCCAGGUCGGAGACGGAGCAGGUCAAAGCCCCCGUGUCGAUCAGUAGUGGGGUCGCGCCUGUGAAUAGACAUUACAGUGCAGCCUGAGCGAUACAGCGAGACUCAGACUUU
rnacentral:SRP_RNA from 1 species